UGGGGAAUAUUGGGCAAUGGGCGAAAGCCUGACCCAGCGACGCCGCGUGGGCGAUGAAGGCCUUCGGGUUGUAAAGCCCUGUCAUGCGGAAAGAACGACCCUGUGACGCAUACUCACAGGGAGUGACGGUACCGCAGGAGGAAGCACCGGCUAACUCCGUGCCAGCAGCCGCGGUAAUACGGAGGGUGCAAGCGUUGUUCGGAAUUAUUGGGCGUAAAGGGCGCGUAGGCGGUAAUGCAAGUCAGAUGUGAAAUACUCCGGCUCAACUGGGGAACUGCAUCUGAAACUGCAUAACUAGAGUACAGAAGAGGGAAACGGAAUUCCCGGUGUAGGAGUGAAAUCCGUAGAUAUCGGGAGGAACACCAGUGGCGAAGGCGGCCACCUGGACAGAUACUGACGCUGAGGUGCGAAAGCGUGGGGAGCAAACA
rnacentral:rRNA from 1 species